GUAAGUAGCUACCAGCCCAUACAUGCUUCCAUUUCAGACUUGUCUUCACAUUUUAAUUCUUCCCAGCUUUGCUUUUACACACCAAAGCCACAGUAUCACACUGUUAUGAUUACUAAUAUCUUUUUCAUGUCAAGAACCCAGUCCUUCUCUACCAAAACUGAGUACCCUCACCCCCAUUGCUUCCUCCAUCACUUCCAGGGCAGCUCUGGCAUCUCACAGCAAGGCAGCAUCGUUCUGCUCUCACUGCUUACAGACAGGGAUUGCAAGUUGGUGCAGCUCUCAGGGCUGUGCAGGCAGAUCUGUGCACACACAGAUCAUUCAGGCAAUUAAAGUCAGUAACUGGAGAAGCUGGUGGAGCCCGUCAGCCAUCUGCUUUGUUGGAGGAGGAGGGCCUACAGUGAAGCCCUGCUGGAAGCUCUGUUAGUUAUGUAAAGCAGUAAACCGAAAUAAGAUUGGUGUGUGGGGAGCACUGUAAGGUGAGGCACAGUUUGGGCCAAAUCACUCCAUCUCCUCCGUACAAUUCAAUGACUGCAUCGCUCCAUUGGUGCUUCAGUAAUUAAUAGCCCUCUCCUUCCAAAGCAUCUCACGGCUUCUCAGGCAGUUGCUGUCCUUUCACUCAUCCUGAGCACCAAGAGAAGAGUUAAGCAUUAAGGAAUGAAAAAACAACAAAACUUGUGAAAAGAAAUAAGACAAACCAGCAAAGCACACUGGCUGCUACAGACAGAACUGCUCCAGCUGAAGUGACCUGGAGCUGUGAUGAGAGGCAGAGGUCUCAGAAGCAGGAAGCUGUCCUAAUAAAAGCCGAGACAGAUGUGUUGUCGUCCCACUGAAGGAGAGGCAGAGAACAAUUCAGCUUUCAGCCACGCAAACAGCACGUGCAAACCUGUGGGCAUACAGCUGACGGUCCUUUGUGCAGGCAGCAGGUAGAACAGUUGGGAGACACAGCAAAUGAAUGGAAAGCAACCUCUGCAGCAGUAAAUGCUGCCAUUGCUGGCAGGGCAGCACAGGAAGCGGAGAAGUCCUUGGCUGAGUGUAAGUGCUGCUCAGCAACAACUAAAACAUCACUGUGUUAUCAGCAGUGUUUUCCUCCUAAAUGCCAAACGGCACCAAGCUGCUGUAAGGGCUGUGAGCCAUCGCAGCCACAGCCGGG
rnacentral:lncRNA from 1 species